AGGAAAUCAAACUCCUUUAGAGACCUCACCAUGGCCUGGACCCUGUUUCUCCUCACCCUUCUCAGUUACUGCUCAGGUGUCCAUUCACAGCCGACUUUGACUCAGCCUCCCUCACAGUCUGUGUCCCCGAGAGAAACAACUAAACUUUCCUGCACCAUCAGCAGUGAUAGUACUACUGUUUACUGGUAUCAACAGAGACCCGGAAAGCCCCCUCGCUUUGUACACUGUGAUGGCUGCAGCAGCAGGGGAGAUGGGAUCCCAAAUCGGUUCACUGCUUCUCGAUCUGGGAAUGUCGGCUAUUUAACCAUCUCCGACUGCCAGCCUGAAGAUGAGGCUGAUUAUUACAGUGGCAUGUGGUACAGCAGCGGUAGCCAGUUCCACGGUGGUGAAAUCUGA